CUCAGUGACUGAGUGACCAGGACAUAGGCUGAGGUCAGGAUGCAGACAGCACGACUCGGGGUAGUUGCUCUUUGCUGCUGUGUGUGUGUGGUUACAGCACAGUUCACCAUCACUGUACCAGAGAAUCCCAUUACAGCAGCAGCCGGAGGUACGGCUGUGUUUACAGUGAAACCGUCUGGUGAGAGAAAAUCACCAGCGUCACCGUAACACAGAACAUUCCCAACCC